GUCUACCACCAUGCUACCCUGAAUGCACCUGAUUUCGUCUGAUAGUGUCAACCUGAAGCUAAGCAGGGUCAGGCCUGGUUAGUGUUUGGAUGAGAGACUGCCUGGGAAUGCCAGGUGCUGUAAACU
ensembl:rRNA 5S_rRNA 5S ribosomal RNA